rnacentral:rRNA from 1 species
CUACGGGCGGCUGCAGUGGGGAAUAUUGGACAGUGGGGGAAACCCUGAUCCAGCAAUGCCGCGUGUGUGAAGAAGGCCUGCGGGUUGUAAAGCACUUUCGGUUGGGAGGACUGCUUCUAGCACUAAUAUUGUUGGAAGUUGACGUUACCUUCAGAAGAAGCACCGGCUAACUCCGUGCCAGCAGCCGCGGUAAUACGGAGGGUGCAAACGUUAAUCGGAAUUACUGGGCGUAAAGCGCGCGUAGGCGGCUAGAUCAGUCGGGUGUGAAAGCCCCGGGCUUAACCUGGGAACUGCAUCCGAUACUGUCUAGCUUGAGUACAGGAGAGGAGAGUGGAAUUCCACAUGUAGCGGUGAAAUGCGUAGAUAUGUGGAGGAACACCAAUGGCGAAGGCAGCUCUCUGGCCUGAUACUGACGCUGAGGUGCGAAAGCGUGGGGAGCAAACAGGAUUAGAUACCCCUGUAGUC